rnacentral:rRNA from 1 species
GAGUUUGAUCAUGGCUCAGGACGAACGCUGGCGGCGUGCCUAAUACAUGCAAGUCGAGCGAAGAAUAGGUUUCAAAUCUUCGGAUGCGAGACCUAUUACUUAGCGGCGAACGGGUGAGUAACGCGUGGGCAACCUGCCCCCCAGACUGGGAUAACAGCUCGAAAGGGCUGCUAAUACCGGAUACGCCUCAAGGAUCGCAUGUUACUUGAGGGAAAGUGUUUAGCGCUGGGGGAUGGGCCCGCGUCCCAUUAGCUAGUUGGUGAGGUAACGGCUCACCAAGGCGACGAUGGGUAGCCGGCCUGAGAGGGUGGACGGCCACACUGGGACUGAGACACGGCCCAGACUCCUACGGGAGGCAGCAGUAGGGAAUAUUGCGCAAUGGGGGGAACCCUGACGCAGCGACGCCGCGUGAGCGAUGAAGGCCUUCGGGUCGUAAAGCUCUGUCCUAUGGGACGAUAAUGACGGUACCAUAGGAGGAAGCCCCGGCUAACUACGUGCCAGCAGCCGCGGUAAUACGUAGGGGGCGAGCGUUGUCCGGAAUUACUGGGCGUAAAGGGUGCGUAGGCGGCCCUUUAAGUCGGAUGUGAAAGCCCGCGGCUUAACCGCGGAAUGGCAUUCGAAACUGGAGGGCUUGAGUGUCGGAGAGGGUAGUGGAAUUCCCAGUGUAGCGGUGAAAUGCGUAGAUAUUGGGAGGAACACCAGUGGCGAAGGCGACUACCUGGACGAUAACUGACGCUGAGGCACGAAAGCUAGGGGAGCAAACAGGAUUAGAUACCCUGGUAGUCCUAGCCGUAAACGAUGGGUACUAGGUGUGGGUGGUUUCGAUACCAUCCGUGCCGUAGUUAACGCAUUAAGUACCCCGCCUGGGGAGUACGUGCGCAAGCAUGAAACUCAAAGGAAUUGACGGGGGCCCGCACAAGCGGUGGAGCAUGUGGUUUAAUUCGAAGCAACGCGAAGAACCUUACCAGGUCUUGACAUCACCUAGCAAGCCAUGGAAACAUGGCCCUCCUUCGGGACUGGGUGACAGGUGGUGCAUGGUUGUCGUCAGCUCGUGUCGUGAGAUGUUGGGUUAAGUCCCGCAACGAGCGCAACCCUUGCCUUUAGUUGCCAGCAUUAAGUUGGGGACUCUAAAGGGACUGCCGGCGACAAGUCGGAGGAAGGUGGGGAUGACGUCAAAUCAUCAUGCCCCUUAUGUCCGGGGCGACACACGUGUUACAAUGGGCGGUACAGCGGGAAGCUACCCGGCGACGGGGAGCCGAUCCCGAAAUCCGCUCACAGUUCGGAUCGGAGUCUGCAACUCGACUCCGUGAAGUCGGAUUCGCUAGUAAUCGCGCAUCAGCCACGGCGCGGUGAAUACGUUCCCGGGCCUUGUACACACCGCCCGUCAAGCCAUGGAAGUCGGGGGUACCUGAAGUUCGUAACCCUUCGGGGAGCGACCCAGGGUAAAACCGGUGACUGGGGCUAAGUCGUAACAAGGUAGCCG